AUUGAACGCUGGCGGCAUGCUUUACACAUGCAAGUCGAACGGGGUGGGGGGCAACGCCCACUCAGUGGCGAACGGGUGAGUAAUGCAUCGGAACGUAUCCCGUAGUGGGGGACAACGUCGCGAAAGCGGCGCUAAUACCGCAUAUGCUCUCCGGAGGAAAGUGGGGGACAGCAAGGCCUCACGCCAUGGGAGCGGACGAUGUCCGAUUAGCGAGUUGGUGGGGUAAUGGCCCACCAAGGCGACGAUCGGUAGCUGGUCUGAGAGGAUGAUCAGCCACACUGGGACUGAGACACGGCCCAGACUCCUACGGGAGGCAGCAGUGGGGAAUUUUGGACAAUGGGGGCAACCCUGAUCCAGCCAUGCCGCGUGCGGGAAGAAGGCCUUCGGGUUGUAAACCGCUUUUAGUCGGGAAGAAAAGGCGUCUCCUAAUACGGGGCGUUCUUGACGGUACCGGCGGAAUAAGCACCGGCUAACUACGUGCCAGCCGCCGCAGUAACAC
rnacentral:rRNA from 1 species